ACGGAAGGCAGCAGUGAGGAAUAUUGGUCAAUGGACGCAGGUCUGAACCAGCCAAGUCGCGUGAGGGAUGGCGGUCCUAUGGAUUGUAAACCUCUUUUGUCGGGGAGUAACGUGCGGUACGUGUACCGUAUUGAGAGUACCCGAAGAAAAAGCAUCGGCUAACUCCGUGCUAGCAGCCGCGGUAAUACGGAGGAUGCGAGCGUUAUCCGGAUUUAUUGGGUUUAAAGGGUGCGCAGGCGGCGCGUCAAGUCAGCGGUAAAAUGGCGGUGCUCAACGCCGGCCGGCCGUUGAAACUGUCGUGCUCGAGUUCGUGCGAGGAGAGCGGAAUGCGUGGUGUAGCGGUGAAAUGCAUAGAUAUCACGCAGAACGCCGAUUGCGAAGGCAGCCCUCCAGCACUGGACUGACGCUGAGGCACGAAAGCGUGGGGAGCAAACAGGAUUAGAUACCCUGGUA
rnacentral:rRNA from 1 species